UGAGGAAUAUUGGGCAAUGGACGCAAGUCUGACCCAGCCAUGCCGCGUGCAGGAUGACGGCCCUACGGGUUGUAAACUGCUUUUAUACGGGAAAAAACUUUUGGUUUCGCACCAAAAUUGAUGGUACCGUAAGAAUAAGGAUCGGCUAACUCCGUGCCAGCAGCCGCGGUAAUACGGAGGAUCCAAGCGUUAUCCGGAUUUAUUGGGUUUAAAGGGUGCGCAGGCGGAAUAAUAAGUCAGUGGUGAAAUCCUACGGCUCAACUGUAGAACUGCCAUUGAUACUGUUAUUCUUGAGUUUAGUUGAAGUGGGCGGAAUGUGUCAUGUAGCGGUGAAAUGCUUAGAUAUGACACAGAACACCGAUCGCGAAGGCAGCUCACUAAGCUAAAACUGACGCUCAUGCACGAAAGCGUGGGGAUCAAACA
rnacentral:rRNA from 1 species